rnacentral:rRNA from 2 species
GGUUGACCUCGGAUCAGGUAGGGAUACCCGCUGAACUUAAGCAUAUCAAUAAGCGGAGGAAAAGAAACCAACCGGGAUUGCCUCAGUAACGGCGAGUGAAGCGGCAAGAGCUCAAAUUUGAAAUCUGGCCCCCUCGGGGUCCGAGUUGUAAUUUGCAGAGGAUGCUUCGGAUGCGGCCCCUGUCUAAGUGCCCUGGAACGGGCCGUCGGAGAGGGUGAGAAUCCCGUCUGGGAUGGGGUGUCCGUGUCCGUGUGAAGCUCCUUCGACGAGUCGAGUUGUUUGGGAAUGCAGCUCUAAAUGGGUGGUAAAUUUCAUCUAAAGCUAAAUACUGGCCGGAGACCGAUAGCGCACAAGUAGAGUGAUCGAAAGAUGAAAAGCACUUUGAAAAGAGAGUUAAACAGCACGUGAAAUUGUUGAAAGGGAAGCGCAUGCGACCAGACUCGCUCGCGGGGUUCAGCCGGCAUUCGUGCCGGUGUACUUCCCCGCGGGCGGGCCAGCGUCGGUUUGGGCGGCCGGUCAAAGGCCCCCGGAAUGUAUCACCUCUCGGGGUGUCUUAUAGCCGGGGGUGCAAUGCGGCCAGCCUGGACCGAGGAACGCGCUUCGGCACGGACGCUGGCAUAAUGGUCGUAAGCGACC